GAUCAUGGCUCAGGACGAACGCUGGCGGCGUGCUUAACACAUGCAAGUCUAACGAAAAGACGGAAAGAGCUUGCUCUUUUCAGAAUUGAGUGGCAAACGGGUGAGUAACACGUAAACAACCUGCCUUCAGGAUGGGGACAACAGACGGAAACGACUGCUAAUACCGAAUAAGUUCCAAGAGCCGCAUGGCCCAUGGAAGAAAAGGUGGCCUCUACCUGUAAGCUAUCGCCUGAAGAGGGGUUUGCGU
rnacentral:rRNA from 1 species